rnacentral:rRNA from 1 species
GAUGAACGCUGGCGGCGUGCCUAAUACAUGCAAGUCGAGCGAACAGAUGAGGAGCUUGCUCCUCUGACGUUGGCGGCGGACGGGUGAGUAACACGUGGAUAACCUACCUAUAAGACUGGGAUAACUUCGGGAAACCGGAGCUAAUACCGGAUAAUAUAUUGAACCGCAUGGUUCAAUAGUGAAAGACGGUUUUGCUGUCACUUAUAGAUGGAUCCGCGCCGCAUUAGCUAGUUGGUAAGGUAACGGCUUACCAAGGCAACGAUGCGUAGCCGACCUGAGAGGGUGAUCGGCCACACUGGAACUGAGACACGGUCCAGACUCCUACGGGAGGCAGCAGUAGGGAAUCUUCCGCAAUGGGCGAAAGCCUGACGGAGCAACGCCGCGUGAGUGAUGAAGGUCUUCGGAUCGUAAAACUCUGUUAUUAGGGAAGAACAAAUGUGUAAGUAACUAUGCACGUCUUGACGGUACCUAAUCAGAAAGCCACGGCUAACUACGUG